UAGCUUUUAACAGAAAGUAUAGAGUAUGC
rnacentral:piRNA from 1 species